rnacentral:rRNA from 1 species
GACGUAGGGCGCGAGCGUUGUCCGGAUUUAUUGGGCGUAAAGAGCUCGUAGGCGGCUUGUCGCGUCGACUGUGAAAACCCGCGGCUCAACUGCGGGCCUGCAGCCGAUACGGGCAGGCUAGAGUUCGGUAGGGGAGACUGGAAUUCCUGGUGUAGCGGUGAAAUGCGCAGAUAUCAGGAGGAACACCGGUGGCGAAGGCG